AUGAACGCUAGCUACAGGCUUAACACAUGCAAGUCGAGGGGCAGCAUUUCAGUUUGCUUGCAAACUGGAGAUGGCGACCGGCGCACGGGUGAGUAACACGUAUCCAACCUGCCGAUAACUCGGGGAUAGCCUUUCGAAAGAAAGAUUAAUACCCGAUGGUAUAAUCAGACCGCAUGGUCUUGUUAUUAAAGAAUUUCGGUUAUCGAUGGGGAUGCGUUCCAUUAGGCAGUUGGUGAGGUAACGGCUCACCAAACCUUCGAUGGAUAGGGGUUCUGAGAGGAAGGUCCCCCACAUUGGAACUGAGACACGGUCCAAACUCCUACGGGAGGCAGCAGUGAGGAAUAUUGGUCAAUGGGCGCAGGCCUGAACCAGCCAAGUAGCGUGGAGGAUGACUGCCCUAUGGGUUGUAAACUUCUUUUAUAUGGGAAUAAAGUUUUCCACGUGUGGAAUUUUGUAUGUACCAUAUGAAUAAGGAUCGGCUAACUCCGUGCCAGCAGCCGCGGUAAUACGGAGGAUCCGAGCGUUAUCCGGAUUUAUUGGGUUUAAAGGGAGCGUAGGUGGACAGUUAAGUCAGUUGUGAAAGUUUGCGGCUCAACCGUAAAAUUGCAGUUGAUACUGGCUGUCUUGAGUACAGUAGAGGUGGGCGGAAUUCGUGGUGUAGCGGUGAAAUGCUUAGAUAUCACGAAGAACUCCGAUUGCGAAGGCAGCUCACUGGACUGCAACUGACACUGAUGCUCGAAAGUGUGGGUAUCAAACAGGAUUAGAUACCCUGGUAGUCCACACAGUAAACGAUGAAUACUCGCUGUUUGCGAUAUACAGUAAGCGGCCAAGCGAAAGCAUUAAGUAUUCCACCUGGGGAGUACGCCGGCAACGGUGAAACUCAAAGGAAUUGACGGGGGCCCGCACAAGCGGAGGAACAUGUGGUUUAAUUCGAUGAUACGCGAGGAACCUUACCCGGGCUUAAAUUGCAUUUGAAUAUAUUGGAAACAGUAUAGUCGUAAGACAAAUGUGAAGGUGCUGCAUGGUUGUCGUCAGCUCGUGCCGUGAGGUGUCGGCUUAAGUGCCAUAACGAGCGCAACCCUUAUCUUUAGUUACUAACAGGUCAUGCUGAGGACUCUAGAGAGACUGCCGUCGUAAGAUGUGAGGAAGGUGGGGAUGACGUCAAAUCAGCACGGCCCUUACGUCCGGGGCUACACACGUGUUACAAUGGGGGGUACAGAAGGCAGCUACCUGGUGACAGGAUGCUAAUCCCAAAAGCCUCUCUCAGUUCGGAUCGAAGUCUGCAACCCGACUUCGUGAAGCUGGAUUCGCUAGUAAUCGCGCAUCAGCCAUGGCGCGGUGAAUACGUUCCCGGGCCUUGUACACACCGCCCGUCAAGCCAUGAAAGCCGGGGGUACCUGAAGUACGUAACCGCAAGGAGCGUCCUAGGGUAAAACUGGUAAUUGGGGCU
rnacentral:rRNA from 1 species